rnacentral:rRNA from 2 species
UUAUCUAUCUAUUAGUCUUGACCAAAUUACGUGCCAGCAGUCGCGGUAAUACGUAGAAGACAAGCGUUAUUCAUCUUUAUUAGGUUUAAAGAGUACCAAGACGGUUAAUAAAGCCCAAAAAAAAUGAAUACGGGGGACACAUUAACUAGAGUUAUAUGAAAGGAAGCUAUAAGGUACUGUUGAGUGUAGAGAUGAAAUUUUAUGAUACCAGAUGAUUGGCACAGAUUUAGGCGAAGGCAUCUUCUUAUGUAAUAACUGACGUUGUAGGACGAAGGCUUAAGUAGUGAACAGGAUUAGGUACCCCAGUAAUCUAGGCAGAAAAUGAUGAAUGUCAUAGGCUGAAUAAGACAGGUUAAAUUUACGAUCGAAUAGUGAAUAGGUGUAUCUUUAAUGAGUCUAUAUUGUGUCUAUAAAUGAAAGUGUAAGCAUUCCACCUCAAGAGUAAUUUGGCAACAUUGGAACUGAAAUCAUUAGACCGUUUCUGAAACCAGUAGUGAAGUAUGUUGUUUAAUUAGAUGAUACACAAAAACCUUACCACAAUUUGAAUAUAUAUAAAAUAUAUUUACAAGCGCUGCACG